CGUGGUACCGUACCCGACGGUGAGGAAUACCACCGAGAAAUCGGUGACAAUACCGCAUACGCUUCGCAAGAAGCAAAGUCUUGAUAAGAGACGCCCCAGGAUGGGCCUGCGCCUGAUCAGCUAGUUGGUGAGGUAAGAGCUUACCAAGGCUGCGAUCAGUAGCUGGUCUGAGAGGAUGAUCAGCCACACUGGGAUUGAGAACGGCCCAG
rnacentral:rRNA from 1 species